rnacentral:rRNA from 1 species
UACGAACCGUCCAAACGUUUAUUCGGAAUUACUGGGCUUAAAGGGUUUGUAGGCGGCCUUGUAAGUGGGGUGUGAAAUCCCUCGGCUCAACCGAGAAAUAGCGCUCCAAACUACAUGGCUUGAGGGAGACAGGGGUAAGCGGAACUGAUGGUGGAGCGGUGAAAUGCGUUGAUAUCAUCAGGAACACCGGUGGCGAAAGCGGCUUACUGGGUCUCUUCUGACGCUGAGAAACGAAAGCUAGGGUAGCGAACGGG